rnacentral:tmRNA from 7 species
GGGGAUGACUGGUUUCGACUUGGAAUGGUUGUUCCAGGAGAAGCGGGCCGAGGACCCAGGGUCAACUCGUUAACGAUCCUUGGAAACCUAUAAGUGCCGAGAACACUCGCACUGACUUCGCUCUCGCUGCCUGAUCAGUGAUCGAAGGGUCAGCCCGGAUGUAGCCUUCCGUCCGGAUCCUGGCCUCGUUUAGAAGGCUUGCCGUACAGCUGUGGUCACGGGGGCUGUACGGGACGUUUCCGUGACUGGGCUUGUCUGCACCAUGUCGGUGUGAGUGCAGGAGCCGAG